rnacentral:tRNA from 1 species
GAUUUCUUAACUAUAAAAGUAUGUAUUUUGAAAAUAUUUAAAAGGAAAAUUCCUAGAAAUCU